rnacentral:lncRNA from 1 species
CAUAAAAAAGUAAACCUAUCAGAAUUUGUAAAUGAAAUUUCAACUAAACAAAGUAACUCUGUAGACCUUGAUGAAUCAUUUUGCUCUCAUUGCCAUCAGAAGGUGGGUAAGGGUAUCAGACAUCCAUGUGGACGGAGGGAUAAAAUUCGAAAUCUACAGUAUCUCAUACAAUCGAAUCGUUCAAAGAUUUCCCAGAGAGUUGUAUCUUCUGUAUUGAAGGAAUUGGCUACAAAAGAGGGAAGCAAAACACUAAAUCUUGCAACAAGUUUCAUUUAAACUUGAUUAAGCACCACUGAGGGAAAUUUCUACCAACACGUUAUUCAACAUAAAAAGGAAAACAGAUCUUCCAAUGACAGCUAUAGAUUGUAUGAUGACUGAGAUUACAAAAAACUUAAGGCGCAAUGGUAUUGAGUCAAAUGCAUCAAAGAUCAUUAAAGACAAGUCCUUUUUUCUUGAAAAGUAUUAUCACAAUCAGACAAUUGAAUUUCAGCGAGGUUAUAAGGUUGCUAAAAAAAAGGCUUUUGAACUAAUUUCCAAAGAUGUCGUGUAUGUUCCUGAACCAUGGAAACUAGUAGAAGAAAUAUGCAAUCAAAGAGAUCUGAAGGGCAAGGCGGAAAGUUUGCCUGUUGUUAUUGCGAAGGAAUGAAAGAAGAAUCCACCGGCCUAUUAAGAACAUUUCCAAGUCUUAAUGAUUGGCACCUAAAGUAUGUAGAAGAUGGCGAGCAAUACAAGAGCAAUACAAGAACAUGCAGAUUUACAAAAAUGUUGUUGGUUGAUGUUUGCUACAAGAAAAUCCAGAGACUCUGGUAAUUGACAUAGUACUACCUCCUGAACUGCAUUUAUUUGAGCGAUUCAAGUUACAGAUGUGCUAAUUGCUGAUGAGUUCACUAAAAACUACUUGUUGAGUAAAACAGUUAUCAGAUAUGGGUAUAAUGGAGGAGGGUAUGAUGGACCAAAUUGUCACAAAGUCCUGUCAUGUUUAGAUGAAUUUAGAGAUAUAUAUCCUCCUCACAUUAUACCUUGCAUUGAAACAUUAAGGAAGUUUAGAACAGUCACUAAGAACUGUUUUGGAAUGGAGCUAUCACCAGAUUUUGGCAAAGACAUCAAAGAUUUUGUAACCAAAAUGUGCAACUUAAAAAACUAUCUUAAGAAUCAUACAAAUUACUCUCUUAGCCUGGGAUAGAAAUUCCACAUAAUACAAGUUUUAUUGAAAGAAAACAAAGAUCCUUGGGUGAUUUCAAUGAACAAACCUCUGUACACAAAAACGUAAAUAAAACAAUGAAGAGGUUUUCAAUGUCAGAACUUAAUAAAUCACAUGGAGAAAAGUUGAUAAAAAUGGCAGUCACAUACUCAAGUAUGAGAAUUUAGAGAGUCAAUUCAGACAUUUUCCAAUAAAAAAAGAACAUGCAUAUGAUUUAUUUAAUGAUAUUUAACUACAUACAAUGUUAAAAAUUACUUAAGUUUUUAAAU